UGAGGACAUAUUGUUGGAACAUAGUCUGGACUUAGUGGGUUCUGGCUUUUUGCUCCUGAUGAGACAGAGGUUUCAGUUAAUAUUACUCCACCUGUUUUCCAGGCAGCUACAACCAAGUAACCAGAUGAAUGAAAUAUCUUAAGUUGAUCUAAGCACAAUAAACUAUCAACAUUGACCUUCCACCCGAAGUUAACAGAAACUGAAAACUGUAAAUGCUGCUAGUGCACAGAAGUGGCCAUAAAUAAAACAACAGGGAAACGAUUAAAAUAUCCGCUGCUGUUUUACCGAUCGUCAUGGAGAUGUUUUUC